rnacentral:rRNA from 1 species
AGCGAACGCUGGCGGCAGGCUUAACACAUGCAAGUCGAGCGGGCAUCCUUGUGGUGUCAGCGGCAGACGGGUGAGUAACGCGUGGGAACGUGCCCUUCGUUUCGGAAUAACUCAGGGAAACUUGAGCUAAUACCGGAUACGUGCGAGAGCAGAAAGGUGUAUCUGCCGAAGGAUCGGCCCGCGUCUGAUUAGCUAGUUGGUGAGGUUAUGGCUCACCAAGGCGACGAUCAGUAGCUGGUCUGAGAGGAUGAUCAGCCACACUGGGAGUGAGACACGGCCCAGACUCCUACGGGAGGCAGCAGUGGGGAAUAUUGGACAAUGGGGGCAACCCUGAUCCAGCCAUGCCGCGUGAGUGAUGACGGCCUUAGGGUUGUAAAGCUCUUUUCUUCGGGACGAUAAUGACGGUACCGGAGGAAUAAGCCCCGGCUAACUUCGUG